GACGACAUUGCAUGACGAUGAAGGAGUUUAGUACUCGCAUGGGGUGGCCUGUUGAUCAGACACAGGUUGGUGGGGAAGUUGAAGCAUCUGGAGCUACAACUAUGGAGGAGGAUGAGGAUGAUAAUGAUGAUGAAGAUGAGGAGGAAGAAGAAGAGGAAGAAGAAGAUGACGAGGAGGAGGAUGACUAUGAUGAUAGUAGGGGAUGAGGAGCUAUGAUAGCAUCUACUGAUGGAUGCUAUGACUACUAGAGCAAGAUUUUUAUUUUCUUUAUUUUUAUGCAGUGUGAGUUGGUUAUGAGUUGAGUUUCGGAAUAAUCAAUUAUCUGGCAUGAUAAUCGAUUAUACCUUCAUGUGUGUGAUGAAUUCUGGUGAUUUGUUGAGUAGGAACACUAAGAUAAUCGAUUAUCACAGUGUAUUUUAUGUACAUGUGUGUGUUUUAGGAAUAAUCGAUUAUUACUUAUGAUAAUCGAUUAUCCCAGAGUAUUUUUACUA
rnacentral:lncRNA from 1 species